UACGGGGGGGGCAAGCGUUGUUCGGAAUUACUGGGCGUAAAGGGCUCGUAGGCGGCCAACUAAGUCAGACGUGAAAUCCCUCGGCUUAACCGGGGAACUGCAUCUGAUACUGGAUGGCUUGAGUUCGGGAGAGGGAUGCGGAAUUCCAGGUGUAGCGGUGAAAUGCGUAGAUAUCUGGAGGAACACCGGUGGCGAAGGCGGCAUCCUGGACCGACACUGACGCUGAGGAGCGAAAGCCAGGGGAUCAAACAGG
rnacentral:rRNA from 1 species